UACGUAGGGCGCAAGCGUUGUCCGGAUUUAUUGGGCGUAAAGAGCUCGUAGGCGGCUCGUUGCGUCGGCUGUGAAAACCCGCAGCUUAACUGUGGGCCUGCAGCCGAUACGGGCGGGCUGGAGUCCGGUAGGGGAGUGUGGAAUUCCCGGUGUAGCGGUGAAAUGCGCAGAUAUCGGGAAGAACACCCGUGGCGAAGGCGGCUCUCUGGGACGGUACUGACGCUGAGACGCGAAAGCGUGGGGAACGAACAGG
rnacentral:rRNA from 1 species